GACGAACGCUGGCGGCGUGCUUAACACAUGCAGGUCGAACGAGAAAGCACUUCGGUGCGAGUACAGUGGCGAACGGGUGAGUAACACGUGGGCAACCUGCCCUGGAGAGCGGGACAACCCGAGGAAACUCGGGCUAAUACCGCAUGAUGCGUCCUGGCGUAAGUCAGGCCGCCAAAUGGUAGCUCUUCGGAGCCUCCGCUCUGGGAUGGGCCCGCGCCGGAUUAGCUAGUUGGUUGGGGUAACGGCCCACCAAGGCGACGAUCCGUAGCUGGUCUGAGAGGACGAUCAGCCACACUGGGACUGAGACACGGCCCAGACUCCUACGGGAGGCAGCAGUGGGAAAUCUUGCGCAAUGGGCGAAAGCCUGACGCAGCAACGCCGCGUGAGGGAAGAAGGCCUUCGGGUUGUAAACCUCUUUCAGGAGGGACGAAGCUUCCGGGGUUAAUAGCCUACGGGGUGACGGUACCUCCAGAAGAAGCCCCGGCUAACUACGUGCCAGCCGCCGCAGUAA
rnacentral:rRNA from 1 species